rnacentral:misc_RNA from 1 species
AUAGGGAUGAAACUAGAAUCAUCAUUAUCGUUAUCGUUGUCAUUAGCUUUAGGAUUAGCCAGCAGUAUCUCACCUGUUGGAAGAUUACCAAAACUACACCACAUAUUUCUAUUGCAUCUCACGAGUUCUUCAGGUAAGUUAAUGGAGUGUUUGUUCCAUCGAUGCCGUUUAUUCAAUCGCCAUAGAUUCAAUAUAUUUGAACCA